AGUGAACGCUGGCGGUAGACCUAACACAUGCAAGUCGAACGGCAGCACAGUAAGAGCUUGCUCUUACGGGUGGCGAGUGGCGGACGGGUGAGGAAUACAUCGGAAUCUACUUUUUCGUGGGGGAUAACGUAGGGAAACUUACGCUAAUACCGCAUACGACCUACGGGUGAAAGCAGGGGAUCUUCGGACCCUGCGCGAUUGAAUGAGCCGAUGUCGGAUUAGCUAGUUGGCGGGGUAAAGGCCCACCAAGGCGACGAUCCGUAGCUGGUCUGAGAGGAUGAUCAGCCACACUGGAACUGAGACACGGUCCAGACUCCUACGGGAGGCAGCAGUGGGGAAUAUUGGACAAAGGGCGCAAGCCUGAUCCAGCCAUACCGCGUGGGUGAAGAAGGCCUUCGGGUUGUAAAGCCCUUUUGUUGGGAAAGAAAAGCAGCAGGUUAAUACCCCGCUGUUCUGACGGUACCCAAAGAAUAAGCACCGGCUAACUUCGUG
rnacentral:rRNA from 1 species